rnacentral:rRNA from 1 species
UCUGGGUCCACCUCCCACCCGUGUUUAUUUUACCUUGUUGCUUCGGCGGGCCCGCCUUAACUGGCCGCCGGGGGGCUUACGCCCCCGGGCCCGCGCCCGCCGAAGACACCCUCGAACUCUGUCUGAAGAUUGAAGUCUGAGUGAAAAUAUAAAUUAUUUAAAACUUUCAACAACGGAUCUCUUGGUUCCGGCAUCGAUGAAGAACGCAGCGAAAUGCGAUACGUAAUGUGAAUUGCAAAUUCAGUGAAUCAUCGAGUCUUUGAACGCACAUUGCGCCCCCUGGUAUUCCGGGGGGCAUGCCUGUCCGAGCGUCAUUGCUGCCCUCAAGCCCGGCUUGUGUGUUGGGCCCCGUCCCCCGAUCUCCGGGGGACGGGCCCGAAAGGCAGCGGCGGCACCGCGUCCGGUCCUCGAGCGUAUGGGGCUUUGUCACCCGCUCUGUAGGCCCGGCCGGCGCUUGCCGAUCAACCCAAAUUUUUAUCCAGGUUGACCUCGGAUCAGGUAGGGAUACCCGCUGAACUUAAGCAUAUCAAUA